GUCAUUUAGAGGAAGUAAAAGUCGUAACAAGGUUUCCGUAGGUGAACCUGCGGAAGGAUCAUUAUUGAAUUAAAUGUGGGAGUUGGUUGUAGCUGGCUUAAAUGAAUUUUUUAAUUAAUUUUCUUUGGGCAUGUGCACACCUCCUCCUUCAUCCACAUACACCUGUGCACUUGUGAGACAGCCUGGGGAAUACUUUAUUAAUUUAUUGGACUCCCCUCUGUCUACUUAAUUUACACAAACCCAAUUUAUUUUAAAAUGAAUGUAAUUGAUGUAACGCAUCUAAUACUAAGUUUCAACAACGGAUCUCUUGGCUCUCGCAUCGAUGAAGAACGCAGCGAAAUGCGAUAAGUAAUGUGAAUUGCAGAAUUCAGUGAAUCAUCGAAUCUUUGAACGCACCUUGCGCUCCUUGGUAUUCCUUGGAGCAUGCCUGUUUGAGUAUCAUGAAAUCUUCAAAGUAAAUCUUUUGUUAACUCAAUUGGUUUCUACUUUGGUAUUUGGAGGUCUUUGCAGUUUCACACCUGCUCCUCUUUGUGCAUUAGCUGGAUCUCAGUGUUAUGCUUGGUUCCACUCGGCGUGAUAAAUUAUCUAUCGCUGAGGACACCCGUAAAAAGGUGGCCAAGGUAAAUGCAGAUGAACCGCUUCUAACAGUCCAUUAACUUGGACAAUAAAAAUAUUUUAUGAUCUGAUCUCAAAUCAGGUAGGACUACCCGCUGAACUUAAGCAUAUCAUA
rnacentral:rRNA from 1 species